AUGUCAAGAAAAAAAAGCAUCGUGGGCUUAAGGGUUCAAGUUGUGAUGGUUCAACUUCUAUUGGAAACACGAAGUCUUCUUCUCCUCUACACUCAACUGAACAGCGAUGCGGCUUCACACUCAUCUCCGAUCGAUUUCCGCCGUGGUGACAACUCCGUCUCUCACCCGCUUCGCUUCAUCAUUCAUCAUGCAGAGUCGUGA